rnacentral:rRNA from 1 species
AUUGAACGCUGGCGGCAGGCCUAACACAUGCAAGUCGAACGGUAACAGGAAGAAGCUUGCUUCUUUGCUGACGAGUGGCGGACGGGUGAGUAAUGUCUGGGAAACUGCCUGAUGGAGGGGGAUAACUACUGGAAACGGUAGCUAAUACCGCAUAACGUCGCAAGACCAAAGAGGGGGACCUUCGGGCCUCUUGCCAUCGGAUGUGCCCAGAUGGGAUUAGCUAGUAGGUGGGGUAACGGCUCACCUAGGCGACGAUCCCUAGCUGGUCUGAGAGGAUGACCAGCCACACUGGAACUGAGACACGGUCCAGACUCCUACGGGAGGCAGCAGUGGGGUAUAUUGCACAAUGGGCGCAAGCCUGAUGCAGCCAUGCCGCGUGUAUGAAGAAGGCCUUCGGGUUGUAAAGUACUUUCAGCGGGGAGGAAGGGAGUAAAGUUAAUACCUUUGCUCAUUGACGUUACCCGCAGAAGAAGCACCGGCUAACUCCGUG